UGCUGCAGAAAGUCAAGAACAAUCAGGGGUCCGGCAGAAAUCCAGCUGACCUGGAGCGCUUUUGGGCCGACCCAGCAAGACACAUGGGCUGAGUCGAAGCAGGGUCUUUGCAGACUGGCCUUUAGCUCUUUCUCAUUGAAAAUAGACUCCCACUGGUCUGCUUUUGGCUUUGAAAGGAUGUUCCUUUAUGUGCCUGGCCCCCCAUCCUACCACACCACAAUACUAUUAAUAAUGACACUGGACCAAUUUACAAACUCACAAAGGAACUGAGAUGCUACUCGGCGUCUCAGUAUGACUUUGGCAUGACAGCCUAUUGCUGAUGUUUUAAUAUCCUCAGAAAACAAUUUCUCAAAGCAAUGUUGCCAUCCACACAAAUUCGACGCUAAUAUUUUAAUAGUCGGAAGGAUGUGCCUGCCCUGUGGUUUAAGUGCAUUAAACUGGGAGGCAGCGAUUGUAUUGUUUUGAAUGCAUUUACUGUGAAUCCAGCAGUGACGUGCGGGUUGCAGAGCAAAAUUCAAUCAGUUGCUUGUGUGCACUAAUAACACCUGGUGAGGGGACAAGCAUCACGCUGAGGGCUUGCACUGAUCCCUGCCUGCACAAGGCUGCAAAUCAAAGCAUCAGAGGUGUUUCAUCUUUUCGCUGGAGUCUCCGGGGUUAAGACUGAAAGGAUGACACUUCAAUUUAUGGCUCCUCCAAUCUACAGCCACGAGGUAGGGAGCUUCAGGCAUUAGAAGCCCACGACUGAUUACUACAAAACACUUGUUUUCACACUUUGUUCGCAGCAGGGUUUCUCAUAUUCUCACCAGGAGUGAUUCCUGCAACUGUCUGACAGGGAGCUGCAUUAGGUGCUGACGGAGAAUGUAAAUAGUGGUGGCAUGAUAGGAAAUACUGAAUAGAAUUCACUGCUAAUUGAAGGCUUUCAUCUGACAAGGCAGUCUGUGUGAAUACAGAUUAUCAUCAGUUGGAAGCAGGGCUGCUGUUAGAAUACCAAUUUCUCUUACCAGGUGUUUUUUUGUUUUUUUUAUCAUUUAUUUAGAAUCUUUUCCUCCAUUAUGUUGGAUAACUCAACUAGCAAACAUGAACAUUUAAUCUUUAAAUAUAUGCUGGCUGACAGAUGAAAUGCGACCCACAUGGUGUUUAGACUGGUGACACGUGCUUGAAUUUAUGAACUUAAUCUCUGACAGCUGCCAACUGAUGCUUUAUUUGGAGAAAAACUGUUAUUUUACAGUAAAGCACAAUCUCUUUUAUUUAUUUGCUCAGCUUUCAUUGUUUGUUUUUGAUGCUUUUUUGUGUUAUUAAAGGCCCACACAUUGUAUUUCUUAAUAACCUUACUACG
rnacentral:lncRNA from 1 species